UUCUGCCGUUGAUGUUGAAGUGAGCCACAUCGCGCGAAAUUUAUUUUCCUUUUUUCACUUUUAUAAAUAACUUUUCUUUCCCUUUUCUAAGUGUUGUGAUAUUUGUGGGUGCUGGGUGGUGGUUUUAAGGUUUAAAAAAAAAAAAAAAAGGGAAAAAAAAAAAAACAAAGAAGGGGAAAAAACUGCAGCAUUAUCUAAAAUAUUACUGAAGCGGACUAAAGUGUGUGUCUCCUUAAACACUUGACAUUGGCAGAAUCACUGCGGCAAUAAAUCCGCGGGAUAGUCCAAAAAAAAAAAAAAAAAAAAAAAAAAAAAAUGAUUGUUU